CCAAUAGCGUAUAUUAAAGUUGUUGCAGUUAAAAAGCUCGUAGUUGAAUUUCGGGACCAAUAUGUCGGUCGUGCUUCGGUACGUACUUGCAUUAUUGGUUUCUCCCUUCUGAAGAACCAUGAUGUCAUUAAUUUGGUGUCUUGGGGAAUCAGGACUGUUACUUUGAAAAAAUUAGAGUGUUUAAAGCAGGCUCACGCUUGAAUACAUUAGCAUGGAAUAAUGAAAUAGGACGUUUGAUUCUAUUUUGUUGGUUUCUAGGAUCGACGUAAUGAUUAAUAGGGAUAGUUGGGGGCAUUAGUAUUCAAUUGUCAGAGGUGAAAUUCUUGGAUUUAUUGAAGACUAACUACUGCGAAAGCAUUUGCCAAGGAUGUUUUCAUUAAUCAAGAACGAAAGUCAGAAGAUCGAAGACGAUCAGAUACCGUCGUAGUCUUAACCAUAAACUAUGCUGACUAGGGAUCGGAUGAUGUUAUUUUUGAUGACUCAUUCGGCGCCUUACG
rnacentral:rRNA from 1 species